rnacentral:rRNA from 1 species
AACGAACGCUGGCGGCAGGCCUAACACAUGCCAGUCGAGCGCCCCGCCAGGGAGGCGGCGGACGGGUGGGUAACGCGUGGGAAUAUGCCAUUUGCUACGGAAUAGACCCGGGAAACUGGGGGUAAUACCGUAUACGCCCUUUGGGGGAAAGAUUUAUCGGCGAAGGAUUAGACCGCGUUGGAUUAGGUAGUUGGUGUGGUAAUGGCCUACCAAGCCGACGACCCAUAGCUGGUUUGAGAGGAUGAUCAGCCACACUUGGACUGAGACACGGCCCAGACUCCUACGGGAGGCAGCAGUGGGGAAUCUUAGACAAUGGGGGCAACCCUGAUCUAGCCAUGCCGCGUGAGUGAUGAAGGCCUUAGGGUUGUAAAGCUCUUUCAGCUGGGAAGAUAAUGACGGUACCAGCAGAAGAAGCCCCGGCUAACUCCGUG